rnacentral:misc_RNA from 1 species
AACGCACCUUGCGCUCCUUGGUAUUCCGAGGAGCAUGCCUGUUUGAGUGUCAUGGUAUUCUCAACCUUCAAAGCUUUGUUGCAGCGAAGGCUUGGAUUUGGAGGCUGUGUUGGCGCAAGUCGACUCCUCUUAAAUGCAUUAGCGUGACUCAUUACGGAUCGCCUUCAGUGUGAUAAUUGUCUACACUGUGGUGUUGAAGUAUAUACACGAGUCUUCAUGCUUACAAUCGUCUCCUAGCGAGACAAAUACAUACAUUGACAAUCUGACCUCAAAUCAGGUAGGACUACCCGCUGAACUUAA